rnacentral:rRNA from 1 species
GACGAACCGUGCGAACGUUAUUCGGAAUCACUGGGCUUAAAGCGCGUGUAGGCGGGACGGCACGUCUGUCGCUGAAAUCCCCCGGCUUAACCGGGGAACUGGUGGAGAUACGACCGUCCUGGAGGGGCGUAGGGGGAUCUGGAACUUCCGGUGGAGCGGUGAAAUGCGUUGAGAUCGGAAGGAACGCCCGUGGCGAAAGCGAGGUCCUGGACGCCUACUGACGCUGAGACGCGAAAGCCAGGGGAGCGAACGGG